GAAAAGGUGUACUCAGUGGAGAUGAUGACAAUGACAUUUCUUUCCUUCUAAAUUAUGAUGAUCUGAUGCUAAGGUAUCCUCAUGUUGAAAAAGAUCACUUGGUAAAGUUGCUUAAACAACUACUGCUGAAUACGGGUCCUCCUAUGCAAUGUGGUGGGGGAGAUGCCCCUGGUGCUGCUGAUGUCCCCACGCUACUUGGAUCUGGACCUUUUUCUCUUUUGACUUGUGAGCGAAAUAGAGUCAAGAAGCAAGCACAAUCCCUUCCUUCAUACCUCCGUUGGCCACACAUGCCUGCUAAUCAGGUGCAUGGUCUAACUUUAAGAGAGAUCGCAGGCGGUUUCCCAAA
rnacentral:misc_RNA from 1 species